rnacentral:rRNA from 1 species
ACGUACACUCCUGCGGGAGGCAGCAGUGGGGAAUAUUGGACAAUGGGCGCAAGCCUGAUCCAGCCAUGCCGCGUGAGUGAUGAAGGCCCUAGGGUUGUAAAGCUCUUUUGUGCGGGAAGAUAAUGACGGUACCGCAAGAAUAAGCCCCGGCUAACUUCGUGCCAGCAGCCGCGGUAAUACGAAGGGGGCUAGCGUUGCUCGGAAUCACUGGGCGUAAAGGGUGCGUAGGCGGGUCUUUAAGUCAGGGGUGAAAUCCUGGAGCUCAACUCCAGAACUGCCUUUGAUACUGAAGAUCUUGAGUUCGGGAGAGGUGAGUGGAACUGCGAGUGUAGAGGUGAAAUUCGUAGAUAUUCGCAAGAACGCCAGUGGCGAAGGUGGCUCACUGGCCCGAUACUGACGCUGAGGCACGAAAGCGUGGGGAGCAAACAGGAUUAGAUACCCGUGUAGUCCCAU